rnacentral:rRNA from 1 species
UACAGAGGGUGCAAACGUUGUUCGGAUUUACUGGGCGUAAAGCGCGUGUAGGCUGCUUCGCAAGUCGGAUGUGAAAUCCCCGAGCUCAACUCGGGAACUGCGUCCGAUACUGGCGGGCUUGAAUCCGGGAGAGGGAUGCGGAAUUCCAGGUGUAGCGGUGAAAUGCGUAGAUAUCUGGAGGAACACCGGUGGCGAAGGCGGCAUCCUGGACCGGCAUUGACGCUGAGGCGCGAAAGCUAGGGGAGCAAACGGG